GCAGUGAACAGGCUGCGUUCUUGCUUGUCAUUGGACAAUGUGUCACACGCUGCGAUACUGGGUCAAGAUAACCACCAUGUUUAAGACCGGACCGGAUCACUCUGAACAGGAAGAUCUGAGAUUAUCAGAGUCAUCCUGAUAAUCUCUCCUGGAGGGGAAAGCAAGACGAAAAUUGGAAUAAAAAUCUGGAUGUAUGAACUAGGCCAGGAGUGGCAAAAGUGUGGCUCAGGUGCCACUUAUCGCUCCUCUCCACUCCCAGGAAGAUAUUGGUUGUUCAGAGGAGCCUGGAGCCGCUGCUGCAUAUCUGCAUCAGUGUCCACAGUCCAGCCAACACACCCGACUCAGGAAGUCGUUAAGAAUCAGGCCGUCAUCCUCCGGCUGUUGGUCACAUGAGGCCAAAGGCGUUUCCAUGGCAAUUUAAUGACAUCACCUGGUGGGGCGGGGUCACCUGGACAGGUCGCCAGUCAGGACACACACACACACACACACACACACCUUUAAUGACCAGGUAACCCAGCAGCUUUGGUUUGGAGGCAGGAAGUCGGAGAACCCAGAGAGAACGUGCAGCGACUCUCAGUCUUUAGUUUGAUUCUCUGAUCCAAACUACAAAAACAACAAAUCUUAAUCUGAAGUCAGUAAUUCCUUAAUACAGAUUUAAAAAGUUCUAGUUUCACUGUCAGAUUAUUUC